rnacentral:rRNA from 1 species
AGCAGUCGCCGCGGUAAUACGUAGGUGGCAAGCGUUGUCCGGAAUUAUUGGGCGUAAAGGGCGCGCAGGCGGUUUCUUAAGUCUGAUGUGAAAGCCCCCGGCUCAACCGGGGAGGGUCAUUGGAAACUGGGAAACUUGAGUGCAGAAGAGGAGAGUGGAAUUCCACGUGUAGCGGUGAAAUGCGUAGAGAUGUGGAGGAACACCAGUGGCGAAGGCGACUCUCUGGUCUGUAACUGACGCUGAGGAGCGAAAGCGUGGGGAGCAAACAGGAUUAGAUACCCGCGUAGUCCCUGUCUCUUAUAC